AGCGAACGCUGGCGGCAGGCUUAACACAUGCAAGUCGAACGGGCACUUCGGUGCUAGUGGCAGACGGGUGAGUAACACGUGGGAACGUACCUUUCGGUUCGGAAUAAUACAGGGGAAACUUGUACUAAUACCGGAUACGCCUUCGGGGAAGGAUUAUCGCCGAUAGAUCGGCCCGCGUCUGAUUAGCUAGUUGGUGAGGUAAUGGCUCACCAAGGCGACGAUCAGUAGCUGGUCUGAGAGGAUGAUCAGCCACACUGGGACUGAGACACGGCCCAGACUCCUACGGGAGGCAGCAGUGGGGAAUAUUGGACAAUGGGCGAAAGCCUGAUCCAGCCAUGCCGCGUGUGUGAUGAAGGCCUUAGGGUUGUAAAGCACUUUUGUCCGGGACGAUGAUGACGGUACCUGCAGAAUAAGCCCCGGCUAACUUCGUGCCAGCAGCCGCGGUAAU
rnacentral:rRNA from 1 species